rnacentral:rRNA from 1 species
UACGUAGGGUGCGAGCGUUAAUCGGAAUUACUGGGCGUAAAGCGUGCGCAGGCGGUUUUGUAAGCCAGAUGUGAAAGCCCCGGGCUUAACCUGGGAAUGGCAUUUGGGACUGCAAGGCUUGAGUGCGGCAGAGGAGACUGGAAUUCCUGGUGUAGCAGUGAAAUGCGUAGAGAUGCGGAGGAACACCGAUGGCGAAGGCAGCCCCCUGGGCUAGCACUGACGCUCAGGCACGAAAGCGUGGGGAGCAAACAGG